rnacentral:lncRNA from 1 species
GGGGCAAGUUCUCUAUAAUCAUAACGUUUGUCCAUUUUCGUGUUUGCUUUACUAAACAAUAAUCACAUUAAUUCUUUUUGUUACUUUGAUUUCUUUUCUUUGCUUCCUUUUUUGGGCACAGGUUAAAGGAGUGGCAAAUAAAUUAAAAUCAAAUUUGGAGAAAGGUAUACUUGGAGAUGAGACUGACCUCAUAGAUCGGAAUAAUGCUUUUGGAUCGAACACAUAUCCUCGGAAGAAAGGCCGAAGUUUCUGGGUAAGUAUUUAGCAAUUUUCAGAUGCUCUUUUUAUUGUCUUUCAAGUUAUAAUAUUGUUUCCUAGCUAGAAAACAGAAAUUAGUUUUGUUUUAUUUUCUUAUCCUAUAGAACUUUCUCUGGGAGGCUUGUAAAGACACAACUCUCAUUAUCUUGAUGGUUGCUGCAGUUGCUUCUUUAGCAUUAGGCAUAAAGACUGAGGUAAGGUUAAGAAGAGGUUAUUUAUCGAUCUUGUUGUUUGUCUAUUUUAUAAGUGGUACAACAUUGAUAUUUGUCUUUGAUUUGUCUCCAACCUUUAUCUUUUCUUGAUGAGCAUCAAAUUUUCACUUGGUCAAUCUUUUUAGAGAAGCACAUUGAUCCGUACUACUUUGGAUACAUACAUUAUAUCAUUUGAAAUUUUCGAUACUUUCCUCCUCGACCUUGUGUUUGUUUUCCAACAAUUCCUAUAUCUCCAUUGCUAUGGUAUUGUCUGUACAGAGAUCAUAGAUGUGCAUGAAGAGAGUGUUCAGAAUGCGUCCUCUCCAUAUCAAUUCAUCUACUUGUCUCUUCUUCCUUAUCGCUCUUGUUUUGUCGAUGUCAUCUGGGGUUGGUUCCAAUUUUGGAUCCCAUAUGUAGAAGAUCUUCAAAGUAUUAGCGUAUUAUUAGAAGUUUAUUAUUUACUUACCACUAAUUAGGUAGAUUCUUUGUAAAUAAUAGCUAGUUUCAUGUAUAUUUUGUAUCCUUAAAUAACCCUAUAAUAUUCUAUAAAGCAAAGGCAGUACACACGAGAAAGACAUUCCACAAAAUUGGCACAAAGUUGUAAGAAGAAACUCAAACUUAUCCCUCCAUCUUGUAAAAUUUGAAUCUAUCUAGUCUCACAAGGUUUUGAUUCAUCAUCUUUAUCAUAGCUAUGAUUGUCUCGUUCUCCAUAUUAAGAAUAUCGUUUGAGAUUGUCAUAAAAAGUUGAUGAAGAACAAGGAAAUAGCCAACAACAAAAAAGGUCAAGAUGGAAGGCGAACAUGAUUAUGAACUGUUGUCCUUAAAUGAUAUUUUCCGCCAUCGGGAUAAGUGCUUGAAGGUUUUAAAAUGCAAAUAGUUUGUAGGAAUAAUUGAAACCUUGAUUCAAGUUUGAAUCAAGCAAAAUCAAAUUUGGUAAGGAACUUUUUAAACUAAUAUUGAAACUUGGUUUGAUCUUUUGAUUCGGAAGUUAAUCAAAGAAUUUGAUGUUUUUGGAUAUGUUUUUCAAUAUGAAAACCAAUUUUAUAUAUUGCACUACAAUCUCCCUGCACGAAAUGGUGCCAAAAACAAGCUAAAGGAUUGUGAGAACAUCCAAAAUGACACUAGAAUUCAAAUCUACAAAAUUCAAGCUUUUAUACUAGACGAUCAUCCAGUUUACCAAAAUUAGUUUUGGUUUUAAAAAUGAUGGCUAGGUAGCCCAGGCCAAUUUUUGGCCUCCAUCACUUUUCUUCUCAUUUUGUUUUUGCUUGUUUUCUUCAUAGUUGAUCACUUCCAUCUGAUGUGAACCCAGUUAGCAAGGUUGCUAUCGAACCCACAUGAAUUGAUACAGGAUCCCAAUAACCCUCAAAUACAACCAAGGUUUAGGAUUUAACUUCUGAACGAUAAACCAAGCAAUCGAAGUUAUAUUAAACCAACGACCUCUUGAUCAGAAAGUCUCGAAAUCUCACUCGGAUUGUGGACUUGAAUCAAUAAAAUUAUGAACAAAAAAACUAGCAAUAACGAUGCUUGAAAGACCCCUUGAUUACAUAACCCAAAGAUCUAACCAAAUGUUUUUGAACGACACAAAAAAUCACUUUCUUGAUAAGUUUGGUUUGCUCCUUGAAGAACAAGAUAAUUGAAGCGAAAAGCUUCGAGAGAAUGUAUAUUGCAAUGAGAAAAUAAACCUAUUUAUACUAAAAACUUAGCAAGUAGUUUGAAAAGAAAUAAAACUCUAAAAAUAUAAAAGUUACCAAAAUUAAGAAUUCUAGACAAAAUAAAACUCCUAAGAAUAUAUAAAUUAUCAAAAAUAAAGAAUUCUAACCAAAACUAACAACUUGUGAAUUUUGAAAAGUUUCCCUUCUGGAAUUGACGUUGCGGAUCAUAUCAGUCCCUCUCUCUUCGAAAGGAUUCGACCUCAAAUGUUCAAAUUAUAGCCCUUAUCUCCAAUCAACAUAAGAACAUAAAAUGGUCCAUCUCUCCUCGGAUGCAAUUUGGACCGCUUUUGAAUUUGAACCCUUCUCUUGCAUAUGUAAAUCCAAUCUCCUUUACAUGGAUCAAAAUGUGUAUGUUUUGACGGCUUCUUCUUGCCAUUUUGUGACGCUCUAAGAAUGAUUUCAGCUGAUAAAUCACUGUUCAUUUUCCAUGCUUUACUUGGCCCAAGUGAUUGUAGUAAUGACAAUUCAAAUUGAUACCUAUUUCCAGGCAUACCAAUUUUGUAGUUCAAUCCACUGCAUAUGAACUCCUUGCAAACAAAUUCCUUCCAUCGCAUUUGAAACUCGGUUGUCUCCUCAGGAAUCACAAAUUCAAUUUUCGGUAUCUAUGAUAUCUCCCAAGCAAGAUGCGGUUGUUUUUGAAGUUUAAUUGAUGCUUGAUGCUCGAUUUGUAAAGGAUUCCAAUAUGAUUAUUUUCUGGAAUUAAAUCUUCUGUGACCUACAAAACAAAAUUAUUUAAAAUAGGGAGGGAAAUGUUAGUGUUUGGCAAUGCCUCCUCAAUUUUAACCUCCUUUUUAUGCAAGCUCACUUUCGAUUCCCCUUUCAUCUCCAACGACUCCCCUUGUUUUCAAGUUUACUCUCGACUUCCAUUUCACUCUUUUGUGGCUCUUCUCCAUUUUUCUCACAAUCAACCACCUCACUAAUUUUACUUUUACUCUCUUGCACCUUUAUGUAAUUAAUUUGAGAUUUAACCUUCUCAUGAAGCCGUAUUACUUCUAAUUUGGAAUCCCAACUCGCCAACUACUUGAUGUACUGCACACAUGCUUCACAUUAGGUGUUUUCUUUUCCCUUGGGCACUCAACCCCAUAAGAUAUUCUAGACAUCUCCCUAAAUUCCCGCUUAUGCCGAUCACUUCUGUAAUAAUAAUUUGGCACAUAUCGUUUCCUCAUAAUCGCCCUCAACUCAUCCAAAUUCUCAAUCGUCCUCUUACCAUACCUUCGCCUAGAUGUUUUCGUUUGGUCCCACCAAAUUGUAGUAUAAUCUACGACUGAGUUCACAACCAACUUCAACUUUCUCUCCUCAGAGUAAUUAUGGCACUCAAACAUCAACUCAACUUUUUCUUCCCACGCUACGUAUACCUCAGGGUCACUCCUACCCUUAAAUUCUGGGAUUGUCGUUUUCACACUCCUAUCACCACCAUAUCCAUAAUAAUUCAUAUUCCUUCUUCCAAACCUAUCGCCUCUAUUUUUCAUACCCUAUAUUGCAUCCUCAAUCCAUACAUCUUCUCACUAUCACUAUAAUAUUCGUAUGCAUCAUAAAUUUCAUUCUUAAGCUCCCAUCUAUUCAUUCUCCGCACAUUAGACACUCCAACACUUUGACCUCCAUGAAUAUUUUUCAAUUUCACAUCCAGUCUAUCUAACUUAUUUCCCAUAUUCUCCAUACCCACCAACAACCUUUCAAAUCACUUCAUCAUCCUUUCUGACAUUUGGAAAUGACUUUGACGUGAAUCUGACAUUUUUUUGACACUUUUUUUUUUGACUCUUUUUUCCCCUUUUGACUCUUUUUUUUGACUUUUUUUUACUCAAUUUAUUUUUUAUUUUUUAAAACUUGACAACGAAUCAAAAAAUCAACAAAAACUGAAAAUUACAAGAAUACCAAUAACACAAAGAAAACGUGGAAAAUAAAAGGAUUCAACAAAAAUAAAAUAAAAACUGGAUAUAACCUAGAUUUUGGUGCCUUAGCUCUGAUACCAAAUGAUGUGAACCCGAUUAGCAAGGUUGCUAUCGAACCCACAAGAAUUGAUACAAGAUCCCAAGAAAGCCCAAAUACGACCAAGGUUCAGGAUUUAACUUCUGAACAAUAAACCAAGCAACUGAAGGUAUAUUAAAUCACCAACCUCUUGAUCACAAAGUCUCGAAAUCUCACCCAGAUUGUGGACUUGAACCAAUAAAAUUAUGAACAAAUUCAACAAGAACGAUGCUUGAAAGACUUCUUGAUUACAUAACCUAAAGAUCCAACCCAAUGUCUUUGGACGCCACAAGAAAUCACUUUCUUGAUAAGUUCGACCUACCCAUUGAAGAACAAGAUAAUUGAAGCGAAAAGUUUCGAGAGAAUUUUUAUUUAAUAAUUCGUAUGAAAAGUCUUGUUUAUUACAAUGAGAAAAUAAACCUAUUUAUACUAAAAACUUGGCAAGUAGUUUGAAAAGGAAUAAAACUCUAAAAAUAUUAAAGUUACCAAAAUUAAGUAUUCUAGACAAAAUAAAACUCCUAAGAAUAUAGAAAUUACCAAAAAUAAAGAAUUCUAACCAAAACUAACAACUCGUGAAUUUUGGAAAGUUUCCCUUCUUGAAUUGACGUUGCAGAUCAUAUCACCAUCACUUCCAAAAUCACAUCCCAUUGUAUAUAUUGAACAAUAUUCCAACAGUUCUAAGUUUUUGGUAGAAAAAGUAGUGCAUUUUAUUUGAAUAGAAAAACUUUUUCAUUUUUUAAGUAUUUCGUUUUGUAGAAAGUUUUUCCUAAUUAAUGAAAAUGAAGAUGAUGUGUGUUAUUAUUUUGAUUUCUUUUUAGAAUAAUAAUUUCAUAUUCCUUUAAGUUCGGGUUGUAUUAUUCAUUUGCAUUUUAACUACAGGAAAAUAAAAAUAAAGCUGUCUAGCUUCUUUUAAUAAUUGACUCAAUAUGCUCCGAGGAGAUGUCCAAGCAAAUACAUAUCCUAUUUUGAUCAACAUUUAUGUGUAAUGGUCUGUAUAGGCUCCAGUUGGCUUGAAAUUUUUUACUAAGCCUCAACGAGAGGAUUUAAUUAAACGGUGUUUAGAUCGUCAAGGAGGUAUUUGGUCUUCAUAACGAAAUUGAUACUUUUAUCCUUGAUUAAAACCCAAAAUUUAUUUUACAUUCCUUCGUUAUCCCAUAAGCUUUGUACUAAUAUUCAUACUGUUGGUGACUAAAUGGUUUUUCGUCAUAUGCUUUGAUGAACGAUUAUUCAAGAAUUUAUAUGCUCAUUCAAAUAAAGUUUGACCAUUGUACUUCUUUUAAAUAUCCCCAUGAAGGAAGAUAGUUGGUUUUCUUGUCAAAUAUUAUUUUGCCUAUUUGUUCAAACUGCAUGUUCUAUGCACGUAAUCCUUUGCUACAAUUUGUAGACUACUUGUAAAAUGAUAUAUUGCUGCAUUACUGGGAUACUGUGUUUUGGCAUGAUGUUGAUGCACUAUUUUUGGUUUUGAUGUAAAAUUAAUACUAUCCAUUUCAGCAAGCUGCACUUGUGUUGAACGCUUCUCGUCGAUUUCGGUAUACUCUGGACUUGAAAAAGGAAGAAGAAAGGAAGGAAUUGAUUGCUAAGAUUAGAACGCAUGCUCAAGUUGUUCGGGUAAUUUAUGUUUCUUGCUCUUUCGUGGAUAAUAAAAAAUUGAGUAUUUUGCCAAAGUUGAUUAAUUGUUUUUGCUUAUCAGGCCGCUUUUCGUUUCCAAAUUUCUAGGCAAGAUGCAAAUGGUAAUUCUCUUUAUUUUUUUUACCUUUUUAUAAAUAUCAAUUAUAGUUUUCUGUACAGUUACUAAUUACACUAUUACAUUUGUACUUUUAGUACUAGAAACUCCAGAGCCUUUACCUCGAUCGACGACCACCCUAGUUAACAAUUUCGAUAUUAGCCUGGAGGAGCUAGUUUCAAUGACCAGGGAAAAUGAUCUUACUUUUUUGAAGCAUAUUGGAGGGGCAAGUUCUCUAUAAUCAUAACGUUUGUCCAUUUUCGUGUUUGCUUUACUAAACAAUAAUCACAUUAAUUCUUUUUGUUACUUUGAUUUCUUUUCUUUGCUUCCUUUUUUGGGCACAGGUUAAAGGAGUGGCAAAUAAAUUAAAAUCAAAUUUGGAGAAAGGUAUACUUGGAGAUGAGACUGACCUCAUAGAUCGGAAUAAUGCUUUUGGAUCGAACACAUAUCCUCGAAAGAAAGGUC